rnacentral:rRNA from 1 species
UACGUAGGGUGCGAGCGUUGCCCGGAUUUAUUGGGCGUAAAGGGUGCGCAGGCGGAUAUGUAAGUCAGUGGUGAAAUCUCCGGGCUUAACCCGGAAACUGCCGUUGAUACUAUAUAUCUUGAAUGCCGUGGAGGUAAGCGGAAUAUGUCAUGUAGCGGUGAAAUGCUUAGAUAUGACAUAGAACACCUAUUGCGAAGGCAGCUUACUACACGGAGAUUGACGCUCAUGCACGAAAGCGUGGGGAUCAAACAGG